CGAAGAAAAGUUGUAGUGCCCGUUUCACAAACGUCCAACAUUACAAAACAAAUUGGAUCAUUGAGAUCUCGUAAAGAUAUUAAAAAGAUAUGCGUCAUUAAUACAAAAUCUUAAAAAGAUAUGCGUCAUUAAUACAACAUCUUAAAAAGAUAUGUGUCAUUAAUACAAUAUCUUAAAAAGAUAUGCGUAAUUAAUAAGCUUAGCCACUUGCCAUUUUUUUUAUGCAUAUGUACACGCCACUUGCCAUCUUAUAUUUAUAUGUAUAUGUACUUUUAUGCAAAUCUCUCUCUCUACUCCCUAAAUAUCUCCCACCCUUCCCUCUAUAUUAUUUCUUUUCCAAAAACCGUUCUCUCUAUCUCUGCAAUGAAGAAGACAAGGUUUUUCCUCUCAACCUUAAUUCAAGAAACCGAGAACCCAACUCGACAAGGGGAAACUACCGUUCAUUCGCUCAGAAUUUGCUCAAAAUCCGUUCAAGGGUACGUCCGCAAGUAAAGUCGGAACGAAUGAUUCAAGUUAAAGGAACUAAAUGAUCUAGGUUGAGCAGCGAAGUAGUGGAGGAAGUGCUAUUGAGACAAGAUACUUAAUUCAGUCA